UACGUAGGUGGCUAGCGUUGUCCGGAUUUACUGGGCGUAAAGAGCGCGCAGGCGGUCGUUCAAGUCGAGUGUGAAAGCCCCCGGCUCAACUGGGGAGGGUCACUCGAUACUGAUCGACUUGAAGGCAGGAGAGGGAAGCGGAAUUCCCGGUGUAGUGGUGAAAUGCGUAGAUAUCGGGAGGAACACCAGUGGCGAAGGCGACUACCUGGCCUGUUCUUGACGCUGAGGCGCGAAAGCUAGGGGAGCAAACGGG
rnacentral:rRNA from 1 species